UUAAAUUUCAUGUAAUAUGAAGCCUCAUGAAACAUUGAAGCUUUCCAGCAACGUGGUUCGCAAAAGGGUUCAUUUCUCGAGGCUUCAUUUGCUCACAAUACCAGCUGUUGGUCAAAGAGUGUAAAACAGGCAGAUAUAUUACAGAUGGUCUAGUGAUCUGUGAUACACUGUAUCAGAUGGUUUUUGACUG